GAGAGUCGAGCGGUAACAGGGGUAGCUUGCUACCCGCUGACGAGCGGCGGACGGGUGAGUAAUGCAUAGGAAUCUGCCCGGUAGUGGGGGAUAACCUGGGGAAACCCAGGCUAAUACCGCAUACGUCCUACGGGAGAAAGGGGGCUCCGGCUCCCGCUAUUGGAUGAGCCUAUGUCGGAUUAGCUAGUUGGUGAGGUAAAGGCUCACCAAGGCAACGAUCCGUAGCUGGUCUGAGAGGAUGAUCAGCCACAUCGGGACUGAGACACGGCCCGAACUCCUACGGGAGGCAGCAGUGGGGAAUAUUGGACAAUGGGGGCAACCCUGAUCCAGCCAUGCCGCGUGUGUGAAGAAGGCCCUCGGGUUGUAAAGCACUUUCAGCGAGGAAGAACGCCUAGUGGUUAAUACCCAUUAGGAAAGACAUCACUCGCAGAAGAAGCACCGGCUAACUCCGUGCCAGCAGCCGCGGUAAUACGGAGGGUGCAAGCGUUAAUCGGAAUUACUGGGCGUAAAGCGCGCGUAGGUGGCUUGAUAAGCCGGUUGUGAAAGCCCCGGGCUCAACCUGGGAACGGCAUCCGGAACUGUCAAGCUAGAGUGCAGGAGAGGAAGGUAGAAUUCCCGGUGUAGCGGUGAAAUGCGUAGAGAUCGGGAGGAAUACCAGUGGCGAAGGCGGCCUUCUGGACUGACACUGACACUGAGGUG
rnacentral:rRNA from 1 species